rnacentral:rRNA from 1 species
UACGUAGGGUGCAAGCGUUGUCCGGAAUUAUUGGGCGUAAAGAGCUCGUAGGCGGUCUGUCGCGUCGGAUGUGAAAAUCCAGGGCUCAACCCUGGACCUGCAUUCGAUACGGGCAGGCUAGAGUUCGGUAGGGGAGACUGGAAUUCCUGGUGUAGCGGUGAAAUGCGCAGAUAUCAGGAGGAACACCGGUGGCGAAGGCGGGUCUCUGGGCCGAAACUGACGCUGAGGAGCGAAAGCGUGGGGAGCAAACAGG